CGAAGGGAAAAGCAACUUAGGAACAAAAUAAUUCCUAUGGUUAAGAUUUUAUGGGCUAACCAUUCGUCAUCCGAAGCAACAUGGGAAGUUGAGGAUAAAAUGAAAUCCAAAUACCCUCACCUAUAUGCUUGAAUGACCUUAUUGCAAUUCUGCAAAGUCAUUAUUUGCUUAUGUAAUGAUAUGUAUAUGUGAAUAUAUGAUUUUGAAAUAUUAUAAAUGAAAGGCAUGUUGUUUAGUACCUAAUUACUUUUAUGAAGUUUCGAGGACAAAACUUUUUCUAAGGGGGUGAGGACGUAAUAUCCCAAAAUUUUAAACAUGUUUAAGAAAAUAAUUAAGAAAGUUAAACGUUCACUUAAUAAUUGUUUUAGUUAAGUAAGUCUAACUAUGAUUUAUUUAUUUUUGAGCUUUUAAAUAAAUUAACUAAUUCUAUGAAAUAUUGCAAUUGACGAGUAAGAUUACUAAUAACAAACAAGUGAGUAACUUAUAAAACAACAAAAAGGAAUUCAACAAAAUAAUAAAAAAAAAAUAGGAGGAAACCUCCCCUCCCUCACCCACGGUCAACCGACCCCCCCUCUACUCCCUCUCUGUUCCCUAUUCUAAUCUCCCCUAUUUGAACCACCAUUCAUCAUCUACGACCUUCAUUUUUGUCUCCAGAAAUUUGUCUAUAAAUGCACAAUGAAACUAGGCUUUGAAUUACAAACUCAAAACCACAAAAAAAUCACAAAAUUUUCUUCUCCUAUCACUCUUUCUUCUCGGCACCACCGAGCCACCACCACUGUGCGCACCACCUUUUUGCGUGCCACCACUACCUUGACCAAUGAACCCACGUCAAUCCUUCACCGGAGUUGCAUCGCACGUGGCGCCACCACUCUCGCUCGCACGCUCCUCUGGUUCACGCGCUGCUGCUGCUCCUGUUUCUGCCGCUGCUGGAGCUCCGAUGACCGACGGCCGACACGGGUCUGCUGCCGUCGCCGACGACCUCCCGUUCUGUCGCUUGCAUCACUCGUCGGAGUUCACCCGGGGGCUCUACCCUGUGUUUUUCGUCCCUACUCCAAGUGAACAGAGAUUAAAGGAAGGAAUUUUACAAGCCUCCCCCGGCUCUCAAUAAAACGUAACUACGGUAUCAGGUACUGAUGACGAUAACGAAAUGGCGUAGCUGUGAGGAGUUGUUUAGUUUUAAGCUUUCUUAAAAGCACUUAUGAUUUAGUUAUGUCAAACUAUGUUAGUUGCUAAGUUUCAACUUUAGUCUUUAUUAAAUGGAUAAUUAUGAUGCUUUAAGUUAUAAUAUGUUUAAGUUAUGAA